rnacentral:misc_RNA from 1 species
AUCCGGCCUUAGGAUAAUAUAGAUCAACACAUUAAAACUCCAAAGCCACUGUGAAGGAAAAUGUGAUAACUUGUUCCAAUAGCAGUUAAACAUUUGUUUAUUGAGAUCACAAUACUUUCAGGAAAAAUGUUGAAAAUACUUCUUCUGUUUUCAUCCUGUGUCGCUGUUUUCAUUUUGGAAUGCCAAGUAUAUGGUAAAAGUGCAAAAAUUGUCAUUUCCAGCUGUGAUGGACAGAUGAAGACCGGAGAUAACUUUGGUGUAAACUACACCGCAAUAAAUUCACUCUGUAACUGUACAAUACUCCCAAAAUACAACGGAAGUUUAAUAUUUGCAUCGACUGCCAUAAACGAAAAUUGUUACACGGAAAUUUCCAUACUUAAAGUUAAUGAGACGAAACUGAGUACCACAAUACCAUGUAAAGGCCCCAGACUAACACCAACAUUCCCUGUAACACAUAAUGACGUGCUUUAUAUGACAUCCAGAUCGGUCAACACUACCAAUGAACAAGAGAGAUUCCUCCAGGAUAUCACGAUAUUUGGAAUUGCAAACAGUUCAUCAAAUGUAAUACCGAUAUUUGUUACUUGUGGGUCAACAUUACGAAGUUCAUCAGCAAAGCCCAGUGAUGUAAAAACAACGACAGAAAAAGGUAAUACGUCAACUUCGAAAGCAAAAGACAGCUUUUUCACAAAAACUUCUCCAGUUGCAGUUUCAACUUAUUCUAAAAGGGAUCUGGAGACCAUUAAACCCCCCUCUGCAACAGAGGGAGUGUCAUACUCAAUAUUUGUCGCUGUAGGAAGUGGAAUUGCCAUUAUCGUUAUUUUUUGAUAAUUUUCUGUAUACGGAGAAGAAACCACGAGAGAGGUACAGAUAAAUCUGACAAUUUUCCGUACGGAGGCAACAAUGGCAACAAGGAACUUCCGUACAAUCCUCCGUAUCACCAGUUCAAUAACGAGGCUGAUGGAGGAUAUUCAACAAUGGAGGACGUAAACAGAAGUCCUUGCGAUGAACUUCAAGACAACCCCUUGGAUCAUCCUCAUCAAGAGAACAUUAAGGCAAGUGGCGCGGCAGGCAUUGUGGAAGAAAAGACAGGACAACAGGAAGAUAUUUCAAUGUUAGAGACCAGUAGCAUUGUGGAAGAUAAGACAGAAAAAGAAGAUAAUCCAAUGAAAGAGACCGGUAGUGAUGCAAUUUAUGCUAAACCAAAUAAGGUUCCAAAAAGACCGACGACUGAGGUGGAAGAUAUCAAUCCUACUGAAAAUUUGUAUGCUCAAAUUAAGGUCAGACGACACGUUCCUUAAUUUUAGAUAACUUUUUCUAGGAAUUUGGUAAUGGUUUGCUACUACUUUGACAAGCUUUCUUGCAAAAAAUUAGGAUACCUUACCAGGCAUUUCUGUAAAAUACUAGAGUAUGCAAUUUCCUAUAUAAUCUUCUUGUAAAUACACUUGAAUAUGCUGAUAUAAAAAUAAAUAGAUCUACAGCACAGCGAAAUUCACUAUAUUAGAACUAUAUCUCCGCCGGGGCGGGGUUUGAACUUACUACCUCUAGAACCUAUACGCCUCUGGCAGUGAGCGGCCACGUUUCUAACCACUCGGCCAUCUAGACAUAUAUCCAUAUCCAAGUAAAUGUUGAUCAUUUUAAAAGUAAUUAUAAAAUUAAUAUUUUAAUUGGAACUCUUUAUUACGAGGAGAUACAAAAAAAGAUUCUCGAGGAACGUGUCGUCUGAUCUUAAAAAACGAUCAUACAAAAUGAAAAGCUUGAAAUGCGGAAGUUUAGCUAAAUAUAUUAUUCAAGGAAAAAGCUUCGCAAAAUUGUUUACAACUUCGGGGGGGGGGGGGGUGCGCGGAAAUAUUAAUCGAGGGUUUAUAAUUGAUACAUAAUUUACUAUUUGUGAUUUUAAUUAAGAAUAUGUCUUAAUUAUUCAUUUGAAUUUUACAAUCUGAAUCCUGGAAUAUAAGUUUUAAAAGCAAAUCUUACAACUGCAUUUAAUUAAUUGAUCUGAAAUUGAAUGUGGACGCUAGUCUUUAGGAAAAAUCUGCAAAAAUCUAUCUGCACUGUUUCAAUACCAGAUGAGAUCUUUUAAGGUACAUGUACAUUUUAUGUAUUGUUAUUACGUUAAACUUUGUAGUAUAAUAUUUUACUAAUAAACACUUGUUUUAUUGUU